rnacentral:rRNA from 1 species
GAUUUUUCGUUCGCGGCGUCUACGACGCGGAACGUCGCAACUCGUUGGAUUCGUAGCAAAAGGGCCGUGCGCGUUGUUCGACGCGGACGGGCGGCGUUCGCGCGUCGCCCGGGUAUCGCGUCGAGCCGUUGCGGCGCCGCGCUUCGAUCGUUCGACGGUACGCGUAACGGCGUGCGCGUCCGAGAUUUCGUUCUCGGCACGCGUCGCCCGUUUGCGACUAACGUUCGGGUCUCUUUCCGACCCGUCUUGAAACACGGACCAAGGAGUCUAACGUACGCGCGAGUCGCGGGGUGUCGCGCGUGCGCGCGCGCGGGGCUAGUUUUCGCGCGCGCGCGCGCGCGGUACGAGAGUAAACCCGUGUGUAGGCGCAAUGAAAGUGAGCGCGGUCGUUUUCGGGCGAUCGCGCGGGAUGACGGCGAUUCCAGCAAACGCUCGUCGAUUCACGAAUCGACGCGGAACGCUCGCAAUCCCGGGGCGUUCGAGAUGGCGCGUCGGCGGGCGCGGUUCGCCGCGUUCGUCGACGACCUAGGGCGCACCCGUAGCGUGUACGUUGGUACCCGAAAGAUGGUGAACUAUGCCCGGCCAGGAUGAAGUCAGGGGAAACCCUGAUGGAGGUCCGUAGCGGUUCUGACGUGCAAAUCGAUCG